rnacentral:rRNA from 1 species
UACAGAGGGGGCAAGCGUUAUUCGGAAUUAUUGGGCGUAAAGGGCGCGUAGGCGGCUUUUCAAGUGACGGGUGAAAUCCCUCGGCUUAACCGAGGAACUGCCUGUCAGACUGGAAGGCUUGAGACCGGGAGAGGUGAGUGGAAUUCCCAGUGUAGCGGUGAAAUGCGUAGAUAUUGGGAGGAACACCGGUGGCGAAGGCGGCCCCCUGGACCGGUACUGACGCUGAGGCACGAAAGCGUGGGGAGCAAACGGG